rnacentral:rRNA from 1 species
GAUUGUUCACCCACCAAUAGGGAACGUGAGCUGGGUUUAGACCAUCGUGAGACAGGUUUGUUUUACCCUACUAAUGUUAGUGUCGUAAUAGUAAUUCAACCUAGUACGAGAGGAACCGUUGAUUCACAUAAUUAGUCAUCGCGAUUGGUUGAAAAGCUAGUGGCAUGAAGCUACCGUGCGAUGGAUUAUGACUGAACGCCUUUAAGUUAGAAUUCGAGCUAGAAGCGAUGCCUGCGCCCGCCGCCCACUUGCCGACCAGCAAUAGGGGUCGUCCGUCCCCUAAAGGCACGUGUCGUUCGUAAAGCCCGCGGAGCAGAUGAGUCAUGCGGGCCCCUUUAAAGUACAAUUCCUAUCUCGAGCAGCAGGUAGAAUCCUUUGCAGAUAACUUUAAUACACGACGGGGUAUUGUAAGUGGUAGAGUGGCCUUGCUGACAAGAUCCACUGAGAU